CACCUCCAGCUGGGUAUGUCUGUCAUAGAUGCAAAGUGCCAGGCCAUUUUAUUCAGCAUUGCCCCACAAAUGGAGACCCUAACUACGAUAUCAAGAGGAUGAAACCUCCAACAGGGAUUCCAAAAUCAAUGUUAAUGGCUACUCCUGAUGGAUCCUAUUCUUUGGCAAGUGGUGCAGUUGCUGUUCUAAAGCCAAAUGAAGCUGCAUUUGAGAAAGAGAUUGAGAG